UACAGAGGUCUCAAGCGUUGUUCGGAUUCAUUGGGCGUAAAGGGUGCGUAGGUGGCGCCGUAAGUCGGGUGUGAAAUUUCGGAGCUUAACUCCGAAACUGCAUUCGAUACUGCGGUGCUUGAGGACUGGAGAGGAGACUGGAAUUCAUGGUGUAGCAGUGAAAUGCGUAGAUAUCGUAAGGAAUACCAGUGGCGAAGGCGGCUUCUUGGCCUGUUCUUGACGCUGAGGCGCGAAAGCUGGGGGAGCAAACGGG
rnacentral:rRNA from 1 species